CAUUUGCUAUGCCUUGUUCUGCCUUCACAAAUAGAUGUAUGUACAUAUACGUGUAAAAUGAUGUUUGAACUGUUUGCUACUCAACAUUUUCCUACCAAUUAGGUUAGGUUUGUUUUGGGUAGGGUUGUCUGAGUAAUGUGUUAUCCUCAUUUUUAAAUCUUUGGUAACUAAAUUUCUGGUAGUAAAAUGUCCAUUAGAGAAUGCCCUCAUAUGAAAAAUAAAGAACAGACAGUCUCAAAGGUUUUCACUUUGACUCAGAAAAUUCACAUAUGCUUCCUUAUUAAUGAGACUUUAUGUACAGUGGUGCUCUUUUUAAUACAGAAAAGUAGGCAGCUUAAUUUUUCUGGAAAAAAAGGAGAUGAGGCAAUGAAAUAGCUUACAUAAGAACAUAAGGAGUCUGCAAUAGGCUGGUUGGCCAAUACAAGGCAGCUCCUGUAAGCCUAACCCCACCUAACAUCACUAUCCAUGAAUUUAUCCAACCUUUUCUUGAAUGUAUCUAUGGUAGAGGCAUCUGCAACAUGACAGCCAAGCCUGUUCCAUUCAUCCAUCAUGCUACUGGUAAACCAAUUCUUGCCAUGUCUUUGUCGACUAUGAAUUUAUCUACCUUAAAACUGUUGCUACAUGUCCUGCUUGGCUCUUUUACAACCAAAACCCUAUUAACAUCCCCUUUAUUAAAGCCUUAACUUAACCUAACCUAACGUAACAAAACCAAAAACACUAUCAGUCUAGACUCAGUAAAUUCAUAAAUACUUCCUUACUAAUCAGACUUUCUAUACAACAAAGUGAGGUCAUUCUUUGUUGAUUUAUACUAUAAGGUGCUGGCUAUCAUGUGUUUGAAGAUACCCUAAACUUAACCUAACAAAGCCAAAACAAACACUAUAGGUCUUGACUCAGAAAAUUCAUAUAUACUUAAUAAUAAGGCCUUCUAUACAACAAUGUGAGGUCAUUCUUUGUUGAUUUAUACCAUAAGGUGCUGGUGAUCAUGUGUUUGAAGAUACCCUAAAUUUAACCUACCAUAACCUAAUAAAACCAUAACAAACACUAUAGGUCUUGACAUAGAAAUCUCAUGGAUGCUUCCUUACUAAUGAGGCUUUCUAUACAACAAAGUGAGGUCAUUCUUUGUUGAUUUAUACCAUAAGGUGCUGGCUAUCAUGUGUUUGAAGAUACCUUAAACUUAACAUAACAAAGCCAAAACAAACACUAUAGGUCUUGACGCAGAAAAUUCAUAUAUGCUUCCUUAUUAAUGAGACUUUCUAUACAACAAAGUGAGAUCAUUCUUUGUUGAUUUAUACCAUAAGGUGCUGGCUAGCAUGUGUUUGAAGAUACCCUAAACUUAACCUAACAUAACCUAAUAAAACCAUAACAAACACUAUAGGUCUUGACUCAGAAAUUUCAUAGAUGCUUCCUUACUAAUGAGGCUUUCUAUACAACAAAGUGAGGUCAUUCUUUGUUGAUUUAUACCAUAAGGUGCUGGCUAUCAUGUGUUUGAAGAUACCCUAAACUUAACCUAACAAAGCCAAAACAAACACUAUAGGUCUUGACUCAGAAAAUUCAUAUAUGCUUCCUUACUAAUGAGACUUUCUAUACAACAAAGUGAGGUCAUUCUUUGUUGAUUUAUACCAUAAGGUGCUGGCUAGCAUGUGUUUGAAGAUACCCUAAACUUAACCUAACAUAACCUAAUAAAACCAUAACAAACACUAUAGGUCUUGACUCAGAAAUUUCAUAGAUGCUUCCUUACUAAUGAGGCUUUCUAUACAACAAAGUGAGGUCAUUCUUUGUUGAUUUGUACCAUAAGGUGCUGGCUAUCAUGUGUUUGAAGAUACCCUAAACUUAACAUAACAAAGCCAAAACAAACACUAUAGGUCUUGACGCAGAAAAUUCAUAUAUGCUUCCUUACUAAUGAGACUUUCUAUACAACAAAGUGAGAUCAUUCUUUGUUGAUUUAUACCAUAAGGUGCUGGCUAGCAUGUGUUUGAAGAUACCCUAAACUUAACCUAACAUAACCUAAUAAAACCAUAACAAACACUAUAGGUCUUGACUCAGAAAUUUCAUAGAUGCUUCCUUACUAAUGAGGGUUUCAAUAAAACAAAGUGAGGUCAUUCUUUGUUGCUUUGUACCAUAAGGUGCUGGCUAUCAUGUGUUUGAAGAUACCCUAAACUUAGCCUAACAAAGCCAAAACAAACACUAUAGGUCUUGACUCAGAAAAUUCAUAUAUGCUUUCUUACUAAUGAGACUUUCUAUACAACAAUGUGAGGUCAUUCUUUGUUGAUUUAUACCAUAAGGUGCUGGCUAUCAUGUGUUUGAAGAUACGCUGAACUUAACCUAACAAAGCCCAAACAAACACUAUAGGUCUUGACUCAGAAAAUUCAUAUAUGCUUCCUUACUAAUGAGACUUUAUAUACAACAAAGUGAGGUCAUUCUUUGUUGAUUUAUAUCAUAAGGUGCUGGCUAUCAUGUGUUUGAAGAUACCCUAAACUUAACCUAACAUAACCUAAUAAAACCAUAACAAACACUAUAGGUCUUGACUCAGAAAUUUCAUAGAUGCUUCCUUACUAAUGAGGCUUUCAAUAAAACAAAGUGAGGCCAUUCUUUGUUGAUUUAUACCAUAA